AUUGAACGCUGGCGGCAUGCUUUACACAUGCAAGUCGAACGGUAACAGGCCGCAAGGUGCUGACGAGUGGCGAACGGGUGAGUAAUGCAUCGGAACGUGCCCAGUCGUGGGGGAUAACGCAGCGAAAGCUGCGCUAAUACCUCAUACGAUCUCUGGAUGAAAGCGGGGGACCGAAAGGCCUCGCGCGAUUGGAGCGGCCGAUGUCAGAUUAGGUAGUUGGUGGGGUAAAGGCCCACCAAGCCAACGAUCUGUAGCUGGUCUGAGAGGACGACCAGCAACACUGGGACUGAGACACGGCCCAGACUCCUACGGGAGGCAGCAGUGGGGAAUUUUGGACAAUGGGCGCAAGCCUGAUCCAGCAAUGCCGCGUGCAGGAAGAAGGCCUUCGGGUUGUAAACUGCUUUUGUACGGAACGAAACGGUCCGGGCUAAUACCCUGGGCUAAUGACGGUACCGUAAGAAUAAGCACCGGCUAACUACGUGCCAGCCGCCGCCGUAA
rnacentral:rRNA from 1 species